GCCGCACUAGAGAAAUGGUUAACUCGUCGGCCUCCUACUUGUAAGGAUGAAAUAAAGCCGAAGACUCCCGGUUCGAGUCCGGGGUGUGGUG